AGACGGGUGAGUAAUGCGUAGGAAUCUACCUAGUAGUACGGAAUAGCCAUUAGAAAUGGUGGGUAAUACUGUAUAAUCCCCUAGGGGGAAAGAUUUAUCGCUAUUAGAUGAGCCUACGUUAGAUUAGCUAGUUGGUGAGGUAAUGGCUUACCAAGGCUAUGAUCUAUAGCUGGUCUGAGAGGACGAUCAGCCACACUGGAACUGAGAUACGGUCCAGACUCCUACGGGAGGCAGCAGUGGGGAAUAUUGGACAAUGGGCGAAAGCCUGAUCCAGCUAUGCCGCGUGAGUGAAGAAG
rnacentral:rRNA from 1 species